UACAGAGGGGGCAAGCGUUGUUCGGAAUUACUGGGCGUAAAGGGCGCGUAGGCGGCCUCUUAAGUCGAACGUGAAAUCCCCGGGCUCAACCCGGGAACUGCGUCCGAUACUGGGAGGCUUGAAUCCGGGAGAGGGAUGUGGAAUUCCAGGUGUAGCGGUGAAACGCGUAGAUAUCUGGAGGAACACCGGUGGCGAAGGCGGCAUCCUGGACCGGUAUUGACGCUGAGGCGCGAAAGCUAGGGGAGCAAACGGG
rnacentral:rRNA from 1 species